rnacentral:ribozyme from 1 species
AAAACGGAAGAAGGGAAAGAAAAAAAGAUCAUGAGAAAUGAAAAAUAAUUUUAUUUUCACUCGUUCCCCUGAUUUCUUCCAUAUUUUUGUUUUACGUU